CCUACGGGAGGCAGCAGUGAGGAAUAUUGGUCAAUGGCCGCAGGGCUGAACCAGCCAAGUCGCGUGAGGGAUGACGGUCCUAUGGAUUGUAAACCUCUUUUGUCAGGGAGCAAAGGGCGCCACGUGUGGCGCUUUGCGAGUACCUGAAGAAAAAGCAUCGGCUAACUCCGUGCCAGCAGCCGCGGUAAUACGGAGGAUGCGAGCGUUAUCCGGAUUUAUUGGGUUUAAAGGGUGCGCAGGCGGAAUGUCAAGUCAGCGGUAAAAUUUCGGGGCUCAACCCCGUCGUGCCGUUGAAAAUGGCGUUCUUGAGUGAGCGAGAAGUAUGCGGAAUGCGUGGUGUAGCGGUGAAAUGCAUAGAUAUCACGCAGAACUCCGAUUGCGAAGGCAGCAUACCGGCGCUCAACUGACGCUCAUGCACGAAAGCGUGGGUAUCGAACAGGAUUAGAUACCCCAGUAGUC
rnacentral:rRNA from 1 species